rnacentral:rRNA from 1 species
GGCCUGGCUGAGCGGUCGGCCGCAAGGUCUGCACUGCUCCGGCUGGGUCUUUCCUUCUGGAAAACCAGCAUGCCCUUUAUUGGGUGUGUUGGCAAUCCAGAACUUUUACCUUGAAAAAAUUAGAGUGUUUAAAGCAAGUGAAUAACAGCCUGAAUACAUUAGCAUGGAAUAAUAGAAUAG